AUGAUAAUAAUAGCAGUAAUUACAGUAGGCCACUCGCACUGUUGUUGGUGACGUGUCUGUUUCCUAUUAUUCCAUGCCACUCUCCUACUGUCUCCUUUACUGCCCUGCGCCACUUGCCUACUAUCUUUUGCCUCUUGCCUACUGUCCAGCACAACUCGUCUACCAUCUCCUAUGCUGACCCACGCCACUCACCUACUGUUUCCUAACUGUCCAAUGCCACAAACUGUAACAUUAAGCUGACACAAUCUUGCUGCACGGUUACUUAUCUGCAUGCAAUCACUAUUGCCAGCUGUUAUGAGUAAACAUUAUAUUGGGACACCAAUAUAUUUCUGAUUUCUGAUUCACGGGCAGUGUAUUUGCUACUGAAGAAAAGGAGAACACAUAGUAAUUGUUCUUGGAUUGAGAUUUAGAGUAAGGUUUCUAUUGAUCUUUUUCAGAUAAGGCCUCUUCAUUUUCAUCUGUGAAGGAUCUACAUGGACUUGGUCUGGAUAGCCUUUCCUGUUUUGAUGAGCCAGUCGGGUCUAGAGGAAAAACCCUAUAUGAGCCCCAGGAUUUUAUGAGGUAUGUAAACGUUCGAAAAACGCAGAAGAGCCCCGUAUAAGAGCCCCAGUGUGAUAGGCUGGUUGCUGUCAUGUGACACACGCCACCACAAGAAAGCGGAAACACAUUGUAGAGCCGUGUGG